rnacentral:rRNA from 1 species
GCCUUAUACAUGCAAGUCGUACGAGAGUUUUUAGCUCAAGUGGCGGACGGGUGAGUAACACGUAAGAAUUUGCCUUUAGGAGGGGGAUAACAAUUGGAAGCGAUUGCUAAUACCCCAUAUGCUUUAAAAAUUUUUUAAAGUGAAAUGGAUUUUCCGCCUAGAGAGAAGCUUGCGGCUGAUUAGCUUGUUGGUAGGAUAAUAGCCCACCAAGGCGACGAUCAGUAUCUGGUUUGAGAGGACGAUCAGACACACUGGAACUGAGACACGGUCCAGACUCCUGCGGGAGGCAGCAGUAGGGAAUUUUCCGCAAUGGGCGAAAGCCUGACGGAGCAAUACCGCGUGAGGGAUGACUGCCUAUGGGUUGUAAACCUCUUUUUUCAGGGAGGAAUUAAUGACGUGUACCUGAAGAAUAAGCAUCGGCUAACUCCGUGCCAGCAGCCGCGGUAAGACGGAGGAUGCAAGUGUUAUCCGGAAUCACUGGGCGUAAAGCGUCUGUAGGUUGUUCUAUAAGUCAACUGUUAAAUCUUGAGGCUCAACCUCAAAAUCGCAGUCGAAACUAUAGAACUAGAGUAUAGUAGAGGUAAAGGGAAUUUCCAGUGGAGCGGUGAAAUGCGUAGAGAUUGGAAAGAACACCGAUGGCGAAGGCACUUUACUGGGCUAUGACUGACACUCAGAGACGAAAGCUAGGGUAGCAAAUGGGAUUAGAUACCCCAGUAGUCCUAGCUGUAAACAAUGGAUACUAGGUGUUGAACAGAUCGACCUGUGCAGUACUAAAGCUAACGCGUUAAGUAUCCCGCCUGGGAAAUAUGCACGCAAGUGUGAAACUCAAAGGAAUUGACGGGGGCCAGCACAAGCGGUGGAGCAUGUGGUUUAAUUCGAUGCAACGCGAAGAACCUUACCAGGGUUUGACAUGAUACGAAUUUUUUUGAAGAGAAAAAGUGCCUUUUGGAACGUAUACACAGGUGG